rnacentral:rRNA from 1 species
AUUACACGCUGGCGGCAGGCCUAACACAUGCAAGUCGAACGAGUGGCGGACGGGUGAGUAAUGUCUGGGAAACUGCCUGAUGGAGGGGGAUAACUACUGGAAACGGUAGCUAAUACCGCAUACCAUCAAAUGUGCCCAGAUGGGAUUAGCUUGUUGGUGGGGUAACGGCUCACCAAGGCGCCGAUCCCUAGCUGGUCUGAGAGGAUGACCAGCCAACCUGGAACUGAGACACGGUCCAGACUCCUAAGGGAGGCAGCAGUGGGGAAUAUUGCACAAUGGGCGCAAGCCUGAUGCAGCCAUGCCGAUCGUAUGAAGAAGGCCUGAGGGUUGUAAAGUACUUUCAGCGGGGAGGCGUUACUCGCAGAAGAAGCACCGGCUAACUCCGUGCCAGCCGCCGCGGUAAUUC